rnacentral:rRNA from 1 species
CCUACGGGAGGCAGCAGUGAGGAAUAUUGGUCAAUGGACGAGAGUCUGAACCAGCCAAGUAGCGUGAAGGAUGACUGCCCUAUGGGUUGUAAACUUCUUUUAUAUGGGAAUAAAAUGUUCCACGUGUGGGCUUUUGUAUGUACCAUAUGAAUAAGGAUCGGCUAACUCCGUGCCAGCAGCCGCGGUAAUACGGAGGAUCCGUGCGUUAUCCGGAUUUAUUGGGUUUAAAGGGAGCGUAGUGGGAUUGUUAAUGCAGUUGUGAAAGUUUGCGGCUUAACCGUAAAAUUGCAGUUGAAACUGGCAGUCUUGAGUACAGUAGAGGUGGGCGGAAUUCGUGGUGUAGCGGUGAAAUGCUUAGAUAUCACGAAGAACUCCGAUUGCGAAGGCAGCUCACUGGACUGCAACUGACACUGAGGCUCGAAAGUGUGGGUAUCAAACAGGAUUAGAUACCCCUGUAGUC